CAGGAAGACCAAGGAACUUCAUCAGGAUGAUGUCACUUCAGGAAGAAGAAUUGGAUACACUCAGGGAGAGUGACAAGGACAAGCUUCAGGAAGAGGUUUGGAAUAUUUCAGGAAUGAAAUAAGGGACACCUCCAGGAAGGAGAAUGAGAGCCAGCACAGGAAUGUUGGUGGGUCAGGAAGACUAAGGAACAGCGUCAGGAUGAUGUUAUAGGAAUUUAGCAAGGAUUGUUUGGUCAGGAUGGCCGAAGGAAAAGUUUUCAAGGAUCGAGCAGGGAGCAUACUUGUAGCGGGAUAGCUAUAAAACGAACCGGGGGCACUGCAUUAGCAGUGCCCCCCUUUUCUUUU
rnacentral:other from 1 species